GAGUUUGAUCCUGGCUCAGAGCGAACGCUGGCGGCAGGCCUAAUACAUGCAAGUCGAACGCACCUUCGGGUGAGUGGCGGACGGGUGAGUAACGCGUGGGAACGUGCCCUUUGGUACGGAACAACUGAGGGAAACUUCAGCUAAUACCGUAUGUGCCCUUCGGGGGAAAGAUUUAUCGCCAUUGGAGCGGCCCGCGUUGGAUUAGCUAGUUGGUAGGGUAAUGGCCUACCAAGGCUACGAUCCAUAGCUGGUCUGAGAGGAUGAUCAGCCACACUGGGACUGAGACACGGCCCAGACUCCUACGGGAGGCAGCAGUAGGGAAUCUUGCGCAAUGGGCGAAAGCCUGACGCAGCCAUGCCGCGUGUAUGAUGAAGGUCUUAGGAUUGUAAAAUACUUUUCACCGGGGAAGAUAAUGACGGUACCCGGAGAAGAAGCCCCGGCUAACUUCGUGCCAGCCGCCGCAGUAAU
rnacentral:rRNA from 1 species